rnacentral:rRNA from 1 species
UACGAAGGGGGCUGCAGCGUUGUUCGGAUUUACUGGGCGUAAAGCGCACGUAGGCGGAUAUUUAAGUCAGGGGUGAAAUCCCGGGGCUCAACCCCGGAACUGCCUUUGAUACUGGAUAUCUUGAGUAUGGAAGAGGUAAGUGGAAUUCCGAGUGUAGAGGUGAAAUUCGUAGAUAUUCGGAGGAACACCAGUGGCGAAGGCGGCUUACUGGUCCAUUACUGACGCUGAGGUGCGAAAGCGUGGGGAGCAAACAGG